CCUACGGGGGGCUGCAGUGGGGAAUAUUGGACAAUGGGGGGAACCCUGAUCCAGCCAUGCCGCGUGUGUGAAGAAGGCCCUCGGGUUGUAAAGCACUUUCAGUGAGGAAGAACGCCUGGUGGUUAAUACCCAUCAGGAAAGACAUCACUCACAGAAGAAGCACCGGCUAACUCCGUGCCAGCAGCCGCGGUAAUACGGAGGGUGCGAGCGUUAAUCGGAAUUACUGGGCGUAAAGGGCGCGUAGGUGGCUUGAUAAGCCGGUUGUGAAAGCCCCGGGCUCAACCUGGGAACGGCAUCCGGAACUGUCAGGCUAGAGUGCAGGAGAGGAAGGUAGAAUUCCCGGUGUAGCGGUGAAAUGCGUAGAGAUCGGGAGGAAUACCAGUGGCGAAGGCGGCCUUCUGGACUGACACUGACACUGAGGUGCGAAAGCGUGGGUAGCAAACAGGAUUAGAUACCCCAGUAGUC
rnacentral:rRNA from 1 species